CCUACGGGUGGCAGCAGUGGGGGAUAUUGGACAAUGGGGGAAACCCUGAACCAGCGACGCCGCGUGAGUGAAGAAGUAUUUCGGUAUUGAAAGCUCUGUCAGCAGGGAAGUAAGAAAUGACGGGAGCUGAUCAAGAAGCCUCGGCUAACUAUGUGCCAGCAGCCGCGGUAAUACGGAGGGGGCAAGCGUAAUCCGGAAUUACUGGGUGUAAAGGGAGCGUAGGGGGUGAUGCAAGUCUGGAGUGAAAGGCCGGGGCCCAACCCCUGGACUGCUCUGGAAACUGUAUAACUUGAGUGCAGGAGAGGUAAGCGGAAUUCCUGGUGUAGCGGUGAAAUGCGUAGAUAUUA
rnacentral:rRNA from 1 species